AAAAAGUGAUAUUGGAUUCAUUCAUUAGUUGUUCACAAAAAUAAUAGAUUAAAAAAAAUUUUAAGAAUUUUCAUAAAGAAAAAUGAGCAAUAACGAUUUAUGGAUUCGCGAUGUAAUUACGAAUUAUGGAUUGUUAUCGCUUAUUAUCAUUCUUAUCGGAAUUUUAAUAUCGCGAAAAUGGUUGAAUUGGCAAAAACGUAUUUACAAAGCUUAUUUAACGGGAUUUGAAGUGGAGUGUGCAGAACUCAUGACACCUUACAAAAAACAUUUAUUCAAAUCACUACAACACGUUGUUUCGAGUGACAGAGUGUUACAAUCCAUGAACCGCAUACGUCUCCUUGAGAUUGGCGUUAAAACGGGUGUGCAUUCCAUGUGAAAAUAUACAAUUUUAUCCAGAAAAUACACACUUAAUUGGUGUUGAUCGAAAUCUGAGAUUAGCUGAAUAUUUAAUAAAAAGUAAUCGUUCGUGGCAAUUUUCUCAUAUCAUUAUUGAACAUCUAAUAAUCGGAGAUGGUAGUUCUUUGAAAGAAGUACCUACUGGAUAUAUAGACGUAGUUGUAACCACAAGAUCGUUAUGUUCAGUAACAUCGUUGCAAUCAACGCUUCGAGAAAUCCACAGAGUAUUGGCACCGGGUGGUCAAUAUUUAUUCAUAGAGCAUAUACCUGAGAAUGAAGGAAUUUUUAUACGAUGGUUACAAAAAAUAUUAACACAAACAAAAAUAUGGCCAUUAUUUUUUGGUGGUUGCCAUUUAAAUGUUGAUCCUAUUAUACAUAUUAAAAAUGCUGGCUUUGAUCAGAUUACAUGGAAUACAUUUACUCUUGAAGGUUA